AAAACAAAAAAAAGAAUUAUGCAAUCUAUUAAAUUGUCCGGAAUCCCCCAGCUAUGGUGCUCCGUCUCGCUCCCCUCUUGCCCCGUCAGCUGUGACAAUCCCAGCCUUUGUUUUGCCGAUGAGAAGCCACAUUCUUCCGAGGGUUUGACCUCCUGUGUGCGUCUCUCACCACAGGGCCGGCAGUGAGGACGCGACCCGACCCAUGGGAUUGGUUAGCGGAUACGGCCGCUAGACACUUGGACCACACUGUUUGUCACCCGAUUGCUCCGGCGCUGAUCUGAGGGCAAGAAACAACCGUUUUUAAUGGAAGUGUUUUUUUAACCAGCGUGAUGGAUGUAGCUGGAUAGCGAUAACCGGGGAACCACCACAUUUGGCCACAUUUGGGAUCCUACUCUGUGGCAAAAGGGCAUCUUUUUAUUUGUGAAUCAUAACCACUGUCCAAACCAAAACAAACUUGCUUCAGCCAGCCGUGAGAUGGUGACCAAUCGAGACUUUGUGACUCUGUUGCUGAUCGCCCUGCCCUGGUCGCUCCUCAUCUGGCACCUAAGCAACGGCAACCAUACGGACCUCUACUGGAAAGGAACGCCGGACAGAAGGAACGGCAGCCGCCCUGCCUCGGGGGACCCCUCCUCCCCCAGGGAGGGCUGUGCUCCGUGGGGGAGGGCGGCGGCGGGGGCGGG